GUGCCAGCCGCGGCGGUAAUACGGAGGGUGCAAGCGUUAAUCGGAAUUACUGGGCGUAAAGCGCACGCAGGCGGUCUGACAAGUCGGAUGUGAAAUCCCCGGGCUCAACCCGGGAACUGCAUUCGAAACUGUCAGGCUGGAGUCUUGUAGAGGGGGGUAGAAUUCCAGGUGUAGCGGUGAAAUGCGUAGAGAUCUGGAGGAAUACCGGUGGCGAAGGCGGCCCCCUGGACAAAGACUGACGCUCAGGUGCGAAAGCGUGGGGAGCAAACAGGAUUAGAUACCCUGGUAGUCCACGCCGUAAACGAUGUCUAUUUGGAGGUUGUGCCCUUGAGGCGUGGCUUCCGGAGCUAACGCGUUAAAUAGACCGCCUGGGGAGUACGGCCGCAAGGUUAAAACUCAAAAUGAAUUGACGGGGGCCCGCACAAGCGGUGGAGCAUGUGGUUUAAAUUCGAUGCAACGCGAAGAACCUUACCUGGUCUUGACAUCCACAGAAGUUUUCAGAGAUGAGAAUGUGCCUUUCGGGAACUGUGAGACAGGUG
rnacentral:rRNA from 1 species